AAUGAACGCUGGCGGCAUGCCUUACACAAGCAAGUCGAACGGCAGCAUGACCUAGCUUGCUAGGUUGAUGGCGAGUGGCGAACGGGUGAGUAAUGCAUCGGAACGUGCCUUUUAGUGGGGGAUAACGUAGCGAAAGUUACGCUAAUACCGCAUAUUCUCUGAGGAGGAAAGCAGGGGACCUUCGGGCCUUGCGCUAGAAGAGCGGCCGAUGUCGGAUUAGCUAGUUGGUGAGGUAAAGGCUCACCAAGGCAACGAUCCGUAGCGGGUCUGAGAGGAUGAUCCGCCACACUGGGACUGAGACACGGCCCAGACUCCUACGGGAGGCAGCAGUGGGGAAUUUUGGACAAUGGGCGCAAGCCUGAUCCAGCCAUGCCGCGUGAGUGAAGAAGGCCUUCGGGUUGUAAAGCUCUUUCGGCUGGGAAGAAAUCGCACCCUCUAAUACAGGGUGUGGAUGACGGUACCAGCAUAAGAAGCACCGGCUAACUACGUG
rnacentral:rRNA from 1 species